AUUGAACGCUGGCGGCAGGCCUAACACAUGCAAGUCGAACGAGUGGCGGACGGGUGAGUAAUGCUUUGAAAUCUAGCUUAUGGAGCGAGAUAACUACGGGAAACGGUAGCUAAUACCGCGUACCAUAGUAUGUGCCCAAGUGGGAUUAGGUAGUUGGUGAGGUAACGGCUCACCUAGGCGACGAUCCCUAGCUGGUCUGCGAGGAUGACCAGCCACACUGGGACAGAGACACGGCCCAGACUCCUACGGGAGGCAGCAGUGGGGAAGAUUGCACAAUGGGCGACAGGCUGGUUGAGCCAUGCCGCGUGAGUGAAGAAGGCCUGCGGGUUGUAAAGUACUUGCAGGCGGGAGGCGUUACCCACAUAGGAAGCACCGGCUAACUUCGUGCCAGCAGCCGCGGUAAUUC
rnacentral:rRNA from 1 species